CCUACGGGAGGCAGCAGUGAGGAAUAUUGGUCAAUGGACGAGAGUCUGAACCAGCCAAGUAGCGUGAAGGAUGACUGCCCUAUGGGUUGUAAACUUCUUUUAUAUGGGAAUAAAAUGUUCCACGUGUGGGAUUUUGUAUGUACCAUAUGAAUAAGGAUCGGCUAACUCCGUGCCAGCAGCCGCGGUAAUACGGAGGAUCCGAGCGUUCUCCGGAUUUAUUGGGUUUAAAGGGAGCGUAGGUGGAUUGUUAAGUCAGUUGUGAAAGUUUGCGGCUCAACCGUAAAAUUGCAGUUGAAACUGGCAGUCUUGAGUACAGUAGAGGUGGGCGGAAUUCGUGGUGUAGCGGUGAAAUGCUUAGAUAUCACGAAGAACUCCGAUUGUGAAGGCAGUUCACUGGACUGCAACUGACACUGAGGCUCGAAAGUGUGGGUAUCAAACAGGAUUAGAUACCCGGGUAGUC
rnacentral:rRNA from 1 species